rnacentral:rRNA from 1 species
AUUGAACGCUGGCGGCGUGCUUUACACAUGCAAGUCGGGCGGCAGCAUGGGGGCAACCCUGAUGGCGAGCGGCGAACGGGUGAGUAAUAUAUCGAGACGUACCUAAUAGAGGGGGAUAACUCAUCGAAAGAUGAGCUAAUACCGCAUAAUCUCUGAGGAGGAAAGGUGGGGACCAGCAAUGGCCUGCCGUUGUUAGAGCGAUCGAUACCCGAUUAGCUAGUUGGUGAGGUAAAGGCUCACCAAGGCGAUGAUCGGUAGCUGUUCUGAGAGGAAGAUCAGCCACACUGGGACUGAGACACGGCCCAGACUCCUACGGGAGGCAGCAGUGGGGAAUUUUGGACAAUGGGGGCAACCCUGAUCCAGCAACGCCGCGUGAAUGAAGAAGGCCUUAGGGUUGUAAAGUUCUUUUGUCCGAGAGCAAAUCGUAUAUGUUAAUAGCGUGUAUGGAUGAGAGUAUCGGAAGAAUAAGCACCGGCUAACUACGUGCC